GCAUGGAGAAUUCUGUGUUACUCUGUCCGUAGUAAAUGCAGUCAGACACCAUGCAAAAGCACUUCUCACUCUCUCUAUAACCAGCAGUGGGAGCCCAAUCUUGCACUGUUUCUAUGAGAAUGAGUACAAUC